GUUGGGUGUCCCAUCUUGUCCUCAGUUGCCGAUGGGUUGUUGGGAGCGGAAGUUCGGCCAUUUUGAGCGCGUCUUCUUGCGGAGCCGAAAGAGAGAGAGACGCUGUGCGGGGUUUAGAGCGUAGCAGUUGAGCAGCAGAGAGUGUUACUCAAGGAAGACUUUAAGGAGUUUAUCACAGCAGCUGAUAAAGGGGCUCUGGAGGUGAAGGUUGGAAUCAAAGAAACUCUUAGUUGAAGACAGAAGAUUGUUCACAAGAGCAACUGAGAUUACAAUGAGCCAGAGCAAGUGUGGAAUUCGUAAGCUUGACUUGUUUUAAGUUUAUGAUGACAAUACUAAAAAGUGAUUCCAUGAGAAAUAGCUGGAGUAAGCUGCUGUGCUGCUUUACCACUAAUGUAAUCUCUACUCCGGUACUUGUGUUAUUAAAUAAACUU